rnacentral:misc_RNA from 1 species
GCAGCUCGAAUUCUUAGUCGGGGAAAUUCUAGGAAAGUGGUUUCUUUUGUGAUUACGACAAACAUUUUGCAUUUCAUUUUAUAAAAAUGGAGUUCUAAAGUAUAUUCCUAAACGAAAUUUAUGUAAUACAGUGCAUGCGGUAAUCGAAUCGAUAGAAUUGAUGUUUUUGAAUUAAUGAAGGAGACGUAAAUGCAUUUGGAGCGUAAUAGAAACGAGUAACCAGUAAAAAAAGGGCACCAUCAAUAGCAGCAGCACCAUCAAUUCACUGACGGGACGCACGAGAGAGUAGCGCGUGGGUAUUAGCUAAUCGGCCAGCGGCAUUGGCGGAGAACGGAUUCCGAUGCAUUUGGUGUGCUUUGUGUAGUGGAAAUGCUGGCCUCAACUUUUUAUUACUGUUGAACGAGGGUUGCGUAAAGUUUGUUGCGGUCUUGUGGUAUCGAGGCAUUCUCCGGAGAAGCACUGUUAUUGAGAAAGCAGUGUAUUGGUCAUUUAUUAUUGCUAUCGGUGGCAGCUUGAAAUAUAAAUAUAAUCAGGGAAAGAAUAUAGCAUUUUUAGCCGCUAAACAUUGCUAGAAAGUGUGUCUCGCUCAUGCAAUGAAAGUGAGCUUCCUCUGACGACUGCUAUUGAAUACUAGAGGCUAGAAGUAAUUAAUGAAUGCUCUGCUGAUUGGUUAGCCACACAUACAGAUACACAGAAACUGCGACAACGUCGGCUUUAACAAGCUUUACGCCGAAAAUCGUGUCGUCAGGCUAACAAUAAAGGCCCCAAAAACGCACAUAAAAUGGAUUCACUUAAAAUUCCAAAAGGUGGUAAUAGCAAUGCGGCAGGUGGUGGCGGCAAGCCCACUGGCAGUGUACCAAUCACCGUCCGAUUUAAUGCUGGCGAUGAAUGUAUUGACGAUAUAUUUCAGACAUUUCACAACAGCAACAACAGUGGCGCUGGCGCUGGUGGAGGAGCCGGUGGUAAUGGAAGCGGGGGUGGUGGACCAAAUGUUGGCGGUGGGGAUUCCCUGUCGAGCAGCCCGUCACAACACCACCAGCUGCAGGCACAACAAAAUGUGGAUGAUGUAAAUACAAGGAAUAAUUUUCUGCAAGGCAAUUUCUUCAAUCGCAAAAGUGGACUGCCCAACAAGCAACAGCUUUCACCGAAUCAUCCCUGUCCGACACACGAUGGCAACAGUCCCACUUCACCGGGUGGCGGCGCAUCGCCUUACAAUGGUUCCCAAGCUGGCGGCAGCGGCGGCAUAUCGCCAAAUUCCAAUGCGGGCAUUUCACCAAACAAAUACCGACGCAGCAUAUCAUUCCCAAACAAGGGCGGCAAUUCGCCCACACCCGGCUACUCACUGGACAUUAACGCCGCACAGUCACACAUACCCACAUUGUCAGUGGGCAAUAGCGGCAGUCAGAGUGCUGGCGCCACUGGUGGCGGUGAUGCGCCAUACCUCGGUGCUGGCUUCACGCCCGAUCGGCUAGUGGGCAACGGUCUUGACAUGCGUCCAAUUGAUCACUGCUUAAAUGACAUAAUGCGCAAUAUGGGCGCAGUGGGAGCUGGUGGCGAUAAUAAUGUGACCGCCGCUGCCGUAUUGGCAGAACGCAUGCGCAAUCAGAAGCUAAGUGAACAUCAUCUCAGCGAAGCAGAUGCUGUGGCCAUAGCGAGUGGCAACGGUGCUGCUGCCUACUUGGAUGCCAAUAUGAAAUUGAACUCACCAUCACGAGCGUCACCACAUUCGCAGGGCUCAGAACAUACGGCACGCUAUUCGAGAAAAGUCUUUGUAGGCGGUUUGCCGCCAGAUAUCGACGAGGAUGAGAUCACCACAUCGUUUCGGCGCUUCGGGCCAUUGGUUGUUGAUUGGCCACACAAAGCUGAGUCAAAGUCGUAUUUCCCACCAAAGGGAUACGCAUUUCUGCUCUUCCAGGAUGAGAACAGCGUGCAACAGUUAAUAGAUUCAUGCAUAACCGACGACGACAAGCUCUAUUUGUGCGUCUCAUCGCCUACCAUCAAAGAUAAACCGGUACAAAUAAGACCUUGGCGUCUGGCCGAUGCCGAUUAUGUGCUCGAUGCAACCAUGUCGUUGGAUCCGCGGAAAACCGUGUUCGUUGGCGGUGUACCGCGCCCCUUGAAAGCCUUCGAGCUGGCCAUGAUCAUGGAUCGUUUGUAUGGUGGUGUGUGUUAUGCGGGCAUCGACACCGAUCCGGAACUAAAGUAUCCGAAGGGCGCCGGACGCGUCGCAUUCGCCAAUCAACAAAGCUACAUAGCGGCUAUUUCGGCGCGUUUCGUACAGCUCCAGCAUGGCGAUAUCGAUAAGCGUGUGGAGGUGAAACCCUACGUGCUGGACGAUCAGAUGUGUGACGAGUGUGAGGGUCAACGUUGUGGCGGCAAAUUCGCACCGUUUUUCUGCGCCAACGUUACAUGUCUACAAUACUAUUGCGAGAACUGUUGGGGCGUCAUUCAUGCGCGUCCCGGCCGUGAAUAUCAUAAACCGCUAGUCAAAGAAGGCGCCGACCGGCCACGGGCGGUGCCAUUCCGCUGGUGUUAACGGCGGCGCUAAUAGGGCCAGCGAACAGCCGAGCGAAAGUUACAAGCGGCUGAUGGCGGAUGCGCGUCGUUUCAAAACGCGUGGCAAAUGGAACGGCAAAGAGUGGCGGAGCAGCAGUAGUAAAGAUGAGCGCCUUCUUUGGACUGUUAAGACGCUUUUACAAUACUACAACAACCACUUACUCUUACAUUUGUAUAGUAAUAAAAGAAACAAAAACACAUUUAGAUGACUAGAGGAUGCUGCAAUACAUUUACAUAAACAUACACAUACAUACAUACAGACAUACAUACAUACAAACACAAAAAAUAAUGUAAAAUUAAAUAUAAACUUUAAUAAUUUCUGAAGCAAAACCAUUUUUUAUAUAGAAUUUUUGUAACAUUUUUAUUAAAUAUUAAAUAAAAACACAAUACUUUAAUGGUAAAUUAAAGUAAAAAAUGCAUAUGCAAUAAAAUUUUAUCAAGCUUAAACAAGUCUAAUAGCGUAAACUCAAUAAAAAAAAAAUAUAUAUAUCAAAAUUAUUACUAAAAAGUGCAAUAUUAAACUAAUAUUAAAAAAAAAACAUUAGUAACAUUGAAAGUGAGUGCAUGUAGACAAGCAUCCAUAAAUGUAUGUAUACCACACAAGCAAUGUGACCAGCAUAAAUAAUAAAUAAAAAGAGAUAUCAAGUGACUGCAGCCAAAUUGAAAUUUGCAAAAAAGACGCAGCUCAGCGGUUGGUUGCCACAAUGGCUGUACUGUCUAAAAAGCAUACACACUUAUGUAUGUACAUACACGCGUAUACUAAAUGCAAACUUUCUUGAAAAAAAAAAAAAU